UACUAUUUCAAGGAUUAGUUGAAAGAUUUUUUUCCCAAAUCUGUGCUCUUGUCCAGCAAACUGUGCAGAUUAGGCAUUUUUCUCAGCCAAAUGAGUUGUACUUCUCAUCAUCUUAAUGUUUGAAAGGGCAGACUGCAGCGGUCAAGAGUUAUGGACUGUACCCGGUAAACCCCAGCAUGCUAUGAAACAGAGUACAGGACCAUGGGAUGGGAAACACCAGGAUUUGUACCCACUGACUCUGCAGUAGCAGAAGGAACUGUUACAGGUCAGGACAGGAUCAAUACUGUCUUCAUCUCUCCUCUUCCUGCUCCCCAGCAAAGCUUCUUCCCCUGUUCUUCUUCCUGCCACCAGAACUGGUGUGGAUGAGGACCAAGAUGGAGGGUCGCAGCAUGUCACUGAUGUGAACACACCCAAGGCUGUCAGCUUCUGGUAUCUGGCUCUGCCCUGCUUGC
ensembl:lincRNA